rnacentral:rRNA from 1 species
GAUGAACGCUAGCGGCAGGCCUAACACAUGCAAGUCGAGGGGUAGAACACUUCGGUGUUUGAGACCGGCGCACGGGUGCGUAACGCGUAUGCAAUCUACCUUGUACAGGGGAAUAGCCCAGAGAAAUUUGGAUUAAUGCCCCAUAGUAUAUAACCUUCGCAUGUUGGUUAUAUUAAAGUUCCAACGGUACAAGAUGAGCAUGCGUCCCAUUAGUUAGUUGGUAAGGUAACGGCUUACCAAGACGAUGAUGGGUAGGGGUCCUGAGAGGGAGAUCCCCCAACCUGGUAAUGAGACAAGGACCAGACUCCUACGGGAGGCAGCAGUGAGGAAUAUUGGUCACUGGGCGCAAGCCUGAACCAGCCAUGCCGCGUACAGGAAGACGGUCCUAUGGAUUGUAAACUGCUUUUAUACAGGAAGAAACCCUCCCACGUGUGGGAGAUUGACGGUACUGUAGGAAUAAGGAACGGCUAACUCCGUGCCAGCCGCCGCGGUAAUAC